UACGUAGGGUGCAAGCGUUGUCCGGAAUUAUUGGGCGUAAAGAGCUCGUAGGCGGUCUGUCGCGUCUGCUGUGAAAACUCAGGGCUUAACCCUGAGCUUGCAGUGGGUACGGGCAGACUAGAGUGCGGUAGGGGAGACUGGAAUUCCUGGUGUAGCGGUGAAAUGCGCAGAUAUCAGGAGGGAACACCGGUGGGCGAAAGG
rnacentral:rRNA from 1 species